CAAACGACUCUCGGCAACGGAUAUCUCGGCUCACGCAUCGAUGAAGAACGUAGCAAAAUGCGAUACUUGGUGUGAAUUGCAGAAUCCCGUGAACCAUCGAGUUUUUGAACGCAAGUUGCGCCCGAAGCCAUCCGGUUGAGGGCACGCCUGCCUGGGCGUCACGCA
rnacentral:rRNA from 1 species